CUAGAAUUUAAACUAUGACUCUUCAUCACUAAUUACUGCCCAGGCUCAUGCUGGCAAAAAGGCAUAAAGUGGCUCCCUUUUAUCUACUUCAUGGCAAACCCUCAGGAGACUGCAAGGCUGAUUAACUUAUGAUUGCCAUCCCAGGGACCAAAUGGAAGACUUCUCUGGCUGGAAGCUUUAGCUAGAGUUUUCAUAGCUUUAAUUUAUAUUUUGGCAGCUUUAACUGGAGUUAGACUAGUUACACUAGUAACAUAAGAGACUUGCAUUCUCAGUACUUAUAAUCAGCACUUACUCUUCCCCUGAUUUCUGGGCUACAGCUGCACUGCUGGCAUGAUAAUGACAUUCAGAAACAUCAUUGCUGAAAUUGGCUGAUUAGGAGCUAGUCUGUGUUUGUGUCAUAGCUGCUUUUUAGCUUGACUACACAUCAAUAUGUUAGGUUUAAGUAGUGUUAUUUGCAGCCACUCUUCACAGAGCAGUAAAGUCCUGCCUGGUCGUUAUGCCUUCUUCCUUCUAAUUUAGCUCACCUUGAAAUAACAUAAAUAUGGCUCUAAACCUAAAUAUCUGGAAUGCAGAACUUGCGGGAGCAAGUAGUGUGAAGUCCAAACAGAGACACCUGAUGACCUUGUUAUGUAACAGCACAGUCAGUCCAACGUAGUUCAACAUAAUCCGGUAUUAUUAAAUGGAGGAGGGAGAAUCCUCCUCCAGAUGAAGAUUCUGAAUGUAACUCUAGGGUCUGUAGGACAAGAAGUGAUCUCAAAGUUUAGUCAAUUUGACUUUUAAAGCUGGUACUUCUGUUCCAUUGGAACCUGCAUGAAGUAAGGCCUGGCUUUUUUUCUUGGUUAGCAAGGCCUUUUGAAAUUCAUCAUUUGCUGCGUCUCAUUCAUUCAUUCAUUCCUGUCCCUGAUUCUCCAACAGACCUUCCUAUAACUUUCUGAACAGUCAAGCUACUUUUUGUCUAAAUAGGUUUUAGCUCUUAUAAGCAAGUUCAUGACUCUGACAUGUCUUUUAAGAGCAUGCAUGUAAAACAGUGAUGUCUGUUUCUCCAAAGUGCAUCUGUCAUGGCAGACAGACUUCAGGAACUUUUGGAAGCUCAGGUAUUACUGAAAUCUUUGUACUUUUAUGGAGGUUUUUUUCUCUGUCCUAUGUGAGGUUAUAGACCCAGUGGGCGUAUGUAUAAUCUAUUAUUUUUUCAUGGUAGUGCCUCUGUUGCUCAUGUUGGUGCUAGAUCUGCUAGAUCUUCACAAAACAAAUCAGAGGGCACUUGAGUGUAACCAAGGGCUUACAUCUUGACCCCACCUCUCCUGCCUUUUAAGCAGUAGCCAUGUAAGGCAAUGGGCUCACUCCCAAUGUACACAGUGAGUAGUGGAGAAAGGUCUCAAAGAGGCCAAAGUCUCUUUGGUCUGGAUUCAGACCUGAAUCUGACCUAACCUGAACCUUAGGACAGUAACAGACUUAACCUUUGGGUUCCCUGUGUAGUCAGAGGAGUUGAGAUGCUCUUCUUGGCAGUUAUUCUCCCCAGCUGAUCUGGGGCCCUUUUGUGAAAUGGAAUUUAUUUGAGCUUGUGUUUCUCCAUGCUAGAUAAAGUACAAGCACCCUCAAACACCUAUCUUUAAAAGCUGAAAGGCUGAAUAACAUUGUUUGAAAAUAGCAAUUGUAUCAUGAGAAAUAAUUGGCUGAAAAUGUCUUAGAUGAUGGCUGUUACUUUCAGUAGGAAUACAAGAUUGAGAUGUAUGAAACAGUCCAACAAGAACCUCGCGUUUCCUUUUUCCUUCUUUUCUCCUUCAGAAAUUAUUCCACUUCAAGAAAUGAUUUUUUUUCUUCUUCAAUUAACUUCCCUUACUUUAUUUCAUUAAUUGAUGUUUCCAUUGAUGUUCUCAGUUGCCUUUUUUCUCCAUUGAGAACCAGAAGACUGACACAUGCAUAAAAAGAGAUCUGAGCCACCCAAGAAGCUUACCUUUUUUCCCAAUGCACUGACAUUUAAAAGCUACAUCUUACAGUAAAGUAAAACUGUGGCAGUCUGAUUACAAGCAGUUUUGGUAAACACUUGAUUAUUUAACAAUGAGUCAUUUCUGCAGUAACCUCAUUCUGUCAUGACUGCAUCACAUCUGCUAAUUCUCUAAAGCAAAAAUCAUAACCUGUACUGGUUAAAAACAUGAAUACAGCCUCAUGGUUCAUAUGUAACACUCUAUUCAAGCAAAGAAGCCAUGUGCUGUAAGUUUAAAAGGGCAAAUUAUUUGUUUUCAAAGAGAAAAUACCAUAGAGAACAACAAAGAUAAUUACGAAAGGCUGCCCAUUCUUUAGCUAUUCUCACAGUAGCUGGCUUCACCAUUAUUCUUCAAGUCUUUGUUCUCUUUUAAAGCCUUUGUGUUUUUGGAGCGUAAUAUAUUUGGAGCAUAGCAUAUUGGGGCUGUUCUGUUGCCCUAUGAAUUGACUCCCUGCCUUCUGUCCUGUUGUUAUUGUUGACCUCAAUCGUAGCUGAGUUAGGCCUGAGUGGAGCACAGCCUCCUGCCCAUAAUGCCUCCUUGUCCUCAAACCAGCCCCUACUGAGGGGAUGAGAACACUGAAGGCAGGGUACGGCUCUUGGAUAUAAUGCAGUUCGAAAAGAUGCAAUAGUGCACAAUGCAGUUUUAAUUAAUUUUUUAGUAUUUCUUGGAACAGUAAUUCUAUCAGUUUUGUUGGAAGACAGAGGAAAUGGCAAAUAAGGAUUGAGUGAUAAUGACAAAGUAGUAAAUGGGGAAGUGGUUUAAGUGAAAUGUUGCCAACAUUCUGUAGCCUCCUUGGAGAGCCUGUACUUAAGAGCGCCAUUCACAUGCUAAACUAAGCCGUGCUAGUCUGUUGAAGUGUAUAUACACCACUGCUUCAAAUGAGGCAGCUGAAUGUACUUCUUUUCACCUUUUUUCUUGAAAAUACAGGAGACAUACACAGUGACGAUUUAGAGUUUUUGGCAAGGAGAGCAGUUCGGGAUGUACCACCCCAAGGCAUGUUGCCCAUGUGCUGCAGAAGUGCUGCAGGACUUGAGUCAAAUAAGGGCUCCAGAGUGAUAGAGUGAUCGGUGCAUUAAAUAGAUAUACCUCUUGCUGUACACAGCUUCAGUCUGCCAGUAAUAACAUCUUAUUGACACAGCGUCAUCUUUUUGUUUACCCUCAUUCCAUGCUAAUAUCUAUUCUUUUCCACUAUUAAACGGUCCAUGAUGGAAAGGAUGGAAAAACUCUGUGCUGAAUCCAAUACAUUUUUGACAUCCUGGACGUGUGGUGGUGCUGGUUUGAGCUUGUGGAAAAAGAAGAGUUUAAAAGAACUAACAGCCUUCAUUAUGUUAAUGUAUCCUUAGAAAUUAGUUUCUCCCCCAAUAAGCUGCAGAUUUAUUGAAAGUAAGACCAAAUAAUGUGGAAUCAUAGAAUUGUUAAGGUUGGAAAAGACCUGAAAAGAUCAUCAAGUGCAACCAUCAGCUGUAGCUGCUGUUGUUUUCUUUGUAAGAUAUGAGAUGAUACAAACGAUAGAGCUGUGAAUUCAUGGAAGUACAGCACACAAUUGUUUUUGGAAGUUCAACUCUUAAUAUUUAUAGAAUUUACCUGAAAGGUUGCAACAGUUUCUCCAUUAGUCAGGCUCAUGUUGGUUAGACCUGACAAUGUAGUGGUCAGUGUGGGCCCCGUGCCACUAACAAACUACAGCAUCCUAAAUACUGCAAGUUCAGCCUUUCGCUAUAGGUAUACAGUUUAUCUCUAAAUAUUCUUUGUAUUUAAGUUACUAGCAGCUAUACAAAUUAGACAAAUAGUAAGCUUCCAAAGCCCGUUUAUUAAUGACAGAUUUUUUUUUCAGUAGAAAUGCAAAGUUCAAUAUAUUUUCCAUUUGCUUUUUUCCCAACCUGGAUAUAAGAUUAAACGCUAAUGCAACUAAGCCACAUGCACAGGUCUGCACAAUGAAAGAUUACUGGUAGUCAACUAUUUGUAAUGAAAUCCAUUAUUACUUUGUCUUGUAAAUGAAAAGUCCUCCCUCCUCAACCACAGGGUAAAAUAUUAGUCAUAUUGUGUUUAUCAGCACCACUGAAAGAUCAGACAUUAGAAAGAUUAGUACCUCCUACUCAAGAAUGGGGCCUAAAAGCUUCCUUUGUCUGUUGCAAAAAUACAUUUUGAGGGGGAAAUAUCAACUGUUGUAGAGGUUAAAUUUUUAUUUCACAACUGUUUUUUCCUCCCUUGCUCCAAAUGCAUAUUUAUAUGUGGACAAACGUUUGCCAUUUGGGUGGUACGUUCUUUUCUGAAGUAUGGAAGAGGUAAAGUACAACCAGUAUUUACCAUGGGCAAUCUUUACUUAGUUUUGCAUUAUAAAAAGUUCUCACAGUGUCCAUAUAUUAAUUCUUAUAAAUUUGUUUUAGCCAUUGCAGGAAAUAAGAGUUUGUAGCCAGUUAAUAAUUGUUUUUCUUAAUCACAUGUUUGAGUUUUAUUGCUGAAAAGCAGCCUCUGAAGGUGCUAUGCAUACAAUUCAGCAAUGUAGACCUGAACAUAUGGUUGAGUAUUUCACAUUCUGGCCUUGAGCAAAGAACAAAGCAUGCCCUGUUUUGGAAGCUACUUCAGCACAUGCUUAAGCACAUAGCGAAUUUCUCCUCUCUGGGGGCUUUGAGAUAGAAGCCAAGGAAAGAGAAGAAGAAGAUAGCUAUGUAUCUUUUAUCACCAUCUGAGAUUGAGGGCAUACUGCAUCACACAGUGCUAAUGGGAAGAGACAACUUCCCAUUGACUCACCUGUCCUUACUAAAUCCAGGCCUGAUGAGGAAACCAUGCUAUGUUCUAAUUCAGGAGAGGAAAAGCCUUUCCUUUGAAUGAUAGAAGAUUAGGUUGGAAUGGUCUUCUGGGGUUUAUUUAUUCCAAUCAAAGUAGGACCAAGUGAAGUUGGAUCAGAUUGCUCGGGGUUUGUCAUGCUAAGUUUUGAACGUUUUCAAGGAUGGUGGGGGAUUCAAGAGUGAACUCUGCCAAUGGGCACCAUGAUACAAGAAGGACAAGAAACUAUUCGAGAGCAUCCAAAGGAGGGCCACAAAGAUGCUGAAGGGUCUGGAGUGCAAGAUCUAUGAGGAGUGGUUGAGAUCCCCUGCUUUGUUUGGCCCAGAGCACAGGGGCUGAGCAGAGCCCUCGUGGCAACCGCAGCUCCUCACUGGGAGCAGAUGGGCAGCGCUGAGCUGUGCUCUGUGUGACAGCGACUGUGCCCAAGGGAAUGGCAUGGGGCUGUGUUGGGCAGGGGCAGCUGGGGGCAGGGAGAGGUUCUGCAGCACAGGGCGGUGGGUGUCUGGGUCAGGUCUGAUGAAGCUGAGGAUAUCAGUGUAUUCUUCUCCUCCUGCAUACAUGAAGCCCACACCUCUGAGGCCAAACCUGAGGCUAUCGAUAGCAUUCAAUCAGAUUCAAGGCAUCUGGUAGUCUGAUUCUGCACUGUUUGAGGUCAGUGACAAAACAUUGACUGGUUACUAAGUUACUAAAGUGGCACAAGAGAAAGAAUGGAAGUUACUGAUAUUCUAGUUUUCCUCACAAGCCACUUUAACAAUGCCAGUCUCUGUUCAAUGCCACUGGAAUGGCAGUGCAAAACAAAAACUUUUCUUCUAUUUCCUUCCUUUUAAUUCUUCAAGCUUUCUUUCCUCUAGUAGGAAUAACCAGUAAUUUAUUUUCAGUUGCCAUUUUAAAAACUAAACUCCAGACCAAACCAUUAAUUGCAUCCUUUUAAGGCCACACCAUAGCGCUAAGCUAUGUAGUAAUGAGUUCAAAAAGGAUCUGAAAGCCUUUGCCGAGAACAGCAUCUCUGACCUCGUGGACUCAACUGUACUGGGCAAGAAAUUGAGAUUUGUGCCUCUAUAGAAAAUAUUCCAUUUGCUUCUUAAUAGAGCUACCUGAGAAGGAAAAAAAUGUUGUGGAGACCAGGAAAUUUCUGAAAGUGCUCGACCUGGAGGUCAGUGGAUGUUAGUUUAUAAAUGAUAAAAUUCCACAUACAUUCUGAUGCUAAAAUUGUGACAACUUAAGAUGUUUGAUAUUACUGUAUUUUCUUGUGGGUGGUGAUUUUUUUUUCUUGAAGUGGUGAACAUAUUUUCCAAGAAUACUGUAUACAUUUGUAACAUGUAUGUUUGUGCCAAUAAAUCUUGUUUUAAGUA